rnacentral:rRNA from 1 species
GACCGCCUGGGGAGUACGGCCGCAAGGUUAAAACUCAAAUGAAUUGACGGGGGCCCGCACAAGCGGUGGAGCAUGUGGUUUAAUUCGAUGCAACGCGAAGAACCUUACCUGGUCUUGACAUCCACAGAACUUUCCAGAGAUGGAUUGGUGCCUUCGGGAACUGUGAGACAGGUGCUGCAUGGCUGUCGUCAGCUCGUGUUGUGAAAUGUUGGGUUAAGUCCCGCAACGAGCGCAACCCUUAUCCUUUGUUGCCAGCGGUCCGGCCGGGAACUCAAAGGAGACUGCCAGUGAUAAACUGGAGGAAGGUGGGGAUGACGUCAAGUCAUCAUGGCCCUUACGACCAGGGCUACACACGUGCUACAAUGGCAUAUACAAAGAGAAGCGACCUCGCGAGAGCAAGCGGACCUCAUAAAGUAUGUCGUAGUCCGGAUUGGAGUCUGCAACUCGACUCCAUGAAGUCGGAAUCGCUAGUAAUCGUAGAUCAGAAUGCUACGGUGAAUACGUUCCCGGGCCUUGUACACACCGCCCGUCACACCAUGGGAGUGGGUUGCAAAAGAAGUAGGUAGCUUAACCUUCGGGAGGGCGCUUACCACUUUGUGAUUCAUGACUGGGGUGAAGUCGUAACAAGGUAACCGUAGGGGAACCUGCGGUUGGAUCACCUCCUUA